GUGCUCACUUUGGCAACACAUAUACUAAAACUGGAACAAUACAGAGAUUAGUAUGGCCCCUGCACAAGGAUGACACUCAAAUUCUUGAAGUGUUCCAUAUUUCC